rnacentral:rRNA from 1 species
GAGGAAUCUUGCGCAAUGGGGGAAACCCUGACGCAGCAACGCCGCGUGAGUGAGGAAGGCCUUCGGGUCGUAAAGCUCUGUCAGAUGGGAAGAAAUGGGUGGGGGCUAAUAUCGUCCAUCCUUGACGGUACCAUCAGAGGAAGCACCGGCUAACUCCGUGCCAGCAGCCGCGGUAAUACGGGGGGUGCAAGCGUUGUUCGGAAUCAUUGGGCGUAAAGCGCGCGCAGGCGGCUUGGUAAGUCAGAUGUGAAAUCCCUGGGCUUAACCCAGGAAGUGCAUUUGAUACUGCCUCGCUAGAGUACGGGAGAGGAAAGUGGAAUUCCUGGUGUAGAGGUGAAAUUCGUAGAUAUCAGGAGGAACACCGGUGGCGAAGGCGACUUUCUGGCCCGAUACUGACGCUCAGGCGCGAAAGCGUGGGGAGCAAAC